CACCUCUCAGGAUUGCACCUGGAGAGUUUCCAGUCCUCUACCAGUCUCGACUAUGGGAGGGAGAAUCAAGCAGAGGAUAGCCAUUUCAUUCCUAGCUUGGGCAGUGGCUAGAGUGUGGAAGACAAUCUGCUACAAGU